rnacentral:rRNA from 1 species
GACGAACGCUGGCGGCGUGCUUAACACAUGCAAGUCGAACGGAAAGGCCCUGCUUUUGUGGGGUGCUCGAGUGGCGAACGGGUGAGUAACACGUGAGUAACCUGCCCUUGACUUUGGGAUAACUUCAGGAAACUGGGGCUAAUACCGGAUAGGAGCUCCUGCUGCAUGGUGGGGGUUGGAAAGUUUCGGCGGUUGGGGAUGGACUCGCGGCUUAUCAGCUUGUUGGUGGGGUAGUGGCUUACCAAGGCUUUGACGGGUAGCCGGGCUGAGAGGGUGACCGGCCACACUGGGACGGAGAUACGGCACAGACCACUACGGGAGGCAGCAGUGGGGAAUAUUGCACAAUGGGCGGAAGCCUGAUGCAGCAACGCCGCGUGCGGGAUGACGGCCUUCGGGUAGUAAACCGCUUUCGCCUGUGACGAAGCGUGAGUGACGGUAAUGGGUAAAGAAGCACCGGCUAACUACGUG